UUGGCCAGGAUGAGAGAAAUGUUCUCUUCAAACAUAAUUUACCAACCUAAAAGUGUCUGCUAUGAUGUCAAGUGCCAUAUAGCCUUCACUAAUGGUUAUUAAGAGCAAAUUUAGAGAAAUGAGAAUGGUCUUUAUUGCAAUACACAGGGAAGGCAAGGGAGGCUCCAUUUUGAUGUCUGACACUAAUAAUGACACACUGUGAAUUCUUGCAGCAAGCAAAACAUCGUAAAACUGUCAUGACCAGCCCCAUUUCCUGAUCUGAAGGCCAUGUUUUGCAUACAACUUGAGUCUUUGAGUUCACCUUCAGUCUGUGCUCUGCUCUGAGACCUGGGAAGGAGGCUGAGAGUUGGAGAACUUGAAGAACUCAAGAGUCCACCUUAGUUGACUCAGAGGCUUCGAGAUGUCAUGUUAAUGCGGCUAUGCUGGUCACCCUCCAAGAAGGCCUAGAAUCUCCACCUAAGGGCACUGCAGGCCCAGGGUUUGCAAUGGACCCUCCAUCCCUCAUCCUGGACUGUGACAGAGACAUGCCUGCAAGUCGCUUCCCAACCUGCCCAUUUCUG
rnacentral:lncRNA from 1 species